UAUUACAGAUAACUGCGCAAGAAUCAUAGCUUCAGAACACAAUUAUUGCCUAGCAGAAAAGAAAGCAACGAAAGAAAAGAAAAAUAAUCGUCGGCAGCAGUUGAUGCCGUCGCUCCUGUUGAACCAACUAAAAACAACAAGGAGAAAAAUCAAGGUCCUGCAGUCGACAUUAUUACGGUCUCAAAAGAGAAACAAAAAUUUUAAAGCUAGACUAGUUGAUGCUGAAAAAAUUUCUACAGAUGUUUUAUUACGAAAAGUAACACAGAAAAUGACAACCGCUGCAAAAAUUUUCACAAAAAUGCAAUACACUCAGACCAGCAAGAAGCCUUCAGGUCGCAGAUUCUCUUUGGAAGAGAAAGUGCUCUCGCUAUCUCUGUAUAAGAAAAGUCCAAGGAGCUAUCCACUUUUAGCGAAAUUUUUUACAUUACCAUCCACGAAGUCUUUAAAAAGGCUUUUAACAAAAAUAGAAGUGGAAUCAGGAUUAAAUAAAUGCAUAUUUUCAAAAAUCAAAGAUACAGUUAAGGAGCUAUGUACGGAAGAUCGAUUAUGCAGCCUAAUUUUUGACGAAAUGUCAAUAUCCCCCCAAAUUCAUUACAAUGCUGCGAAAGACCAGGUUAGGGGAUUUACAUUUGAUGGAAAAAAAAUUGCAGACCAUGCAUUAGUCUUCAUGGUAAAAGGUUUAAAAAAAAAUUUCAAGCAACCCAUUGCCUAUUAUUUUGGUAAUGCAAUCAACAAGAGCCAACUAAAAGAUUUAUUAAUUAAUGUAAUACAAUAUGUGCAAGGCACAGGACUGAAAAUUGUAUGUACAGUGUGUGAUCAAAGCACAGUAAAUGUAAGUACAAUUAAUGAACUAAUAGAAGACACAAAAAAAAACUAUUUAAGAAAGGAAAAAGAAUGGAAAUACGAAGUGAUUGAAAUUGGAAAAUCAAGAAUAAUCCCUCUAUUUGAUGUCCCACAUUUGAUUAAGGGGCUAAGAAAUAACUUGCUCACAAAAGAUUUAAAAUACUUCGAUUUUGAAGAGAAAAACGAAAAAUUAAUAAAAUGGGAAUAUUACCAAAAAGUUUAUGAAGCUGAUAAAUGCUAUGGAGAAUUAAAACUUCUACAUAAACUCACCGAUGAGCACAUUUAUGUUGAAAAAAUUAAGAAAAUGAAAGUGAAAGCAGCUACACAAGUGUUCAGUCACAGCGUAGCUGUGGUAGCAGAACACCUCACCGCAAGAGGAGACCUCCCUGAAGAAUGCAGAAAUGUAAUCAAAUUUACAAAACUGAUCGACAAUUUAUUUGACUCUUUGAAUUCAAAUACUUUUAAUGUGCCUAAUGGCAAAAUUUAUAAAGGAUGUGUUCGCAGGUCUACACCGCACCAUGAUUUGUGGAAUAAUGCCAUAAAAAUUUUAAAAACAGUAACAUUUAUUAAGAAAAUUAAGGACAAAAAUAAUAAAAUCCGUGUGAUUGAAACUAAAGCGAUACCAUCUAUCAAAAACUUCAUACGCACAAUUGAAGGAAUGCAACAUUUAUGGAUAUUGCUGUCUCGAACUUAUUCAUUUGAUGCUAUGCUAACACGAAAUUUCAACCAGGACCCACUCGAAAAUUUUUUUGGGAACAUCAGAAGCUAUGGGGCCAGAAAUACGGCACCGGACACAAUGGCGUUUGAAGGGGCCUUUAAGUCCCUUUUAAUUAGUAAUUUUAACUCGCCCCAUUCACUACAUGCUAAUUGCGAAAGGGAUGAUAACAGCUGCCUGCAAAAUUUAGAUUUUUUUAUAAGAGAAAAUGUUUCGACUUCUGAUAUUCCCAGUCCCAUUGAUGAAGAAGCACCACAAUUGUCAGAACAUGUAGACGAAAUUGUGGUACCUUUCAUUAAUUUAAGUAGUGAUGUUACUGAUGCUGGUCAAGGUAAUUAUGUGUGUGGGUGGGUCCUGGGGAAAUGCCUCAAACAUAUUUCCAAAGGAUGCAAAAAUUGUAAAAAAGAUAUGCAUGGUGACCCUAAUGACAAAACUAAUGAAUAUAUUAAAGCCAAAGAGUAUAAAAAACAUAAAACUUCUUUAUUAUACCCAGCAAAAAAUGUGGAAAAAUGUUUUGUACAAAUUCAACAUGUAGUGUCAGACAUAUUAAAAAAAGAUGUACCGAAAAAUAAACUAAAAGAAAAAAUCAAAAUGUUUACAGACAUAUUUGUUGAUUUCCCUUUCAAUUGUGAAACUCAUAAAAAUAUAUUAAAACCUUAUUUUGAGAAUACAAUAAUAAAUGUUCUUUUAUAUAGCUGGUGCCGUUCAAUUAACCGGAUUUUGUCAGGCAAAACCACAUAUCAUGGUGAUGAUGAAACAAAGGUAGCAGCACAAGCUUAUAGAGAUAAACAUAAGUGUAGAAAAUAAAUGUUAUCCAGUAAGUAAAA